AUUGAACGCUGGCGGCAUGCCUUACACAUGCAAGUCGAACGGUAACGGGCCUUCGGGUGCCGACGAGUGGCGAACGGGUGAGUAAUACAUCGGAACGUGCCCGAUCGUGGGGGAUAACGAGGCGAAAGCUUUGCUAAUACCGCAUACGAUCUACGGAUGAAAGCAGGGGACCGCAAGGCCUUGCGCGGACGGAGCGGCCGAUGGCAGAUUAGGUAGUUGGUGGGAUAAAAGCUUACCAAGCCGACGAUCUGUAGCUGGUCUGAGAGGAUGAUCAGCCACAUUGGGCCGGGGCACCGGCCCGGCUUCCUACGGGAGCCAGCGGUGGGGAAUUUUGACCAAGGGGCGAAACCUUGUCCCACCCAUGCGGCUGGCAGGAGGAAGCCUUUCGGGUUGUAACCUGCUUUUGUCCGGAACAAAAGGCUUUCUUUAAUACAGGAGGGUCAUGACGGUACCGUAAGAAUAAGCACCGGCUAACUACGUG
rnacentral:rRNA from 1 species